AUUGAACGCUGGCGGCAGGCCUAACACAUGCAAGUCGAGCGGAUGAAGGGAGCUUGCUCCUGGAUUCAGCGGCGGACGGGUGGGUAAUGCCCAGGAAUCUGCCUGGUCUUGGGGGAUAACGUCCGGAAACGGGCGCUAAUACCGCAUACGACCUGAGGGUGAAAUUGGGGGAUCUUCGGACCUCACGCUAUAAGAUGAGCCUAGGACGGAUAAGCUAGCUGGUUGGGUAAAGGCCUACCAAGGCGACGAUCCGAAACUGGUCUGAGAGGAUGAUCAGUCACACUGGAACUGAGACACGGUCCAGACUCCUACGGGAGGCAGCAGUGGGGAAUAUUGGGCAAUGGGCGAAAGCCUGAUCCAGCCAUGCCGCGUGUGUGAAGAAGGUCUUCGGAUUGUAAAGCACUGUAAGUUGGGAGGAAGGGAAGUAAGUUUAUCCCUUGCUGUUUUGACGGUACCAACAGAAUAAGCACCGGCUAACUUCGUG
rnacentral:rRNA from 1 species